rnacentral:rRNA from 1 species
AGAGUUUGAUCAUGGCUCAGAUUGAACGCUGGCGGCAUGCUUUACACAUGCAAGUCGAGCGGCAGCGCGGGGGCAACCCUGGCGGCGAGCGGCGAACGGGUGAGGAAUGCAUCGGAACGUGUCCCGUAGAGGGGGAUAGCUCGGCGAAAGCCGGAUUAAUACCGCAUAUGCUCUACGGAGGAAAGCAGGGGACCCGCAAGGCCUUGCGCUAUGGGAGCGGCCGAUGCCCGAUUAGCUUGUUGGUGAGGUAAAGGCUUACCAAGGCGACGAUCGGUAGCUGGUCUGAGAGGAUGAUCAGCCACACUGGGACUGAGACACGGCCCAGACUCCUACGGGAGGCAGCAGUGGGGAAUUUUGGACAAUGGGGGAAACCCUGAUCCAGCCAUGCCGCGUGAGUGAAGAAGGCCUUCGGGUUGUAAAGCUCUUUUGGCCGGGAAGAAAGGGUUCUCUUGAAUACGGGGGAUCUUUGACGGUACCGGCAGAAUAAGCACCGGCUAACUACGUGCCAGCAGCCGCGGUAAUACGUAGGGUGCGAGCGUUAAUCGGAAUUACUGGGCGUAAAGCGUGCGUAGGCGGUUCGUUAUGUCUGCUGUGAAAUCCCCGGGCUCAACCUGGGAAUGGCAGUGGAAACUGGCGGGCUUGAGUGUGGCAGAGGGGGGUGGAAUUCCGCGUGUAGCAGUGAAAUGCGUAGAGAUGCGGAGGAACACCGAUGGCGAAGGCAGCCCCCUGGGCUAACACUGACGCUGAGGCACGAAAGCGUGGGGAGCAAACAGGAUUAGAUACCCUAGUAGUCC